rnacentral:sRNA from 1 species
ACCCAGUGUGCCACAUCCCCUCAUGUCAACAACAGGGACAGGAUGACCUCCACGAAGUCGAAAAACAAUCAACUGUUUGUGAAUCUUAAAAAUGUGAACCCUGGGAAGAGAGGCCCUGUCGGGGACUGCAUUGGGACAUUACCUGCUGACUGGAAACAUGGCAGCUACCUCAACGAGCUCGGUGCUUUUGGACUUGACAGAAGCUAUAUGGGAAAAUCCUUAAAAGACCUGGGAAAGAAUUCUGAAUAUAAUUCAAGUAACUGCUCCCUAAGCAGUUCUGAGAACCCAUAUGCCACUAUUAAAGACCCACCUGUACUUAUCCCUAAAAGUUCAGAGUGUGGUUAUGUGGAGAUGAAAUCGCCGGCACGAAGAGAUUCCCCAUAUGCAGAGAUCAAUAACUCAACUUCAGCCAACAAGAAUGUCUAUGAAGUUGUUUAGACCAGACAGAGACAGUGGCAACAGGAAGAAGAGAAGGAAUCUACAUGACGGACUGGCACUGGAUAAUCUGGCCAGGAUGGACUGGUGAGACAGAUGUUCCUGUUUAUCAGGAUUAAUUGAAUUGCUA